CUAGCCGAGCUCAAGGAUUGUAGAUCCGUUUCAAUCCUGUCGAGCUUAAGGAUUGCAAUUUCGUGUCAAUCCUGGUACACAGUCACGAGCUGUAGUACAACAAAAUUCAAUGAUUGUGGGUCGUAGAUGAAUAGUAAAGCUGCAUGCAAAUAUUGCAUAGCCCCAAGACGCAAUAGAAAGAGUGGUGCGCAUCAAUAAUGUUCGAGCGACAAGCUAAAGUUGCUUGGUCGUAGCCUCGGUGAGACCGUAUUGCGUGUGAACAUGGGGUACAGGACACUUCAACUUACAUCCUGAUGAACUUCUUUAAAGAAUGGGUAGUGAGCCCGUAGAAGUAUAAACAAUAUAAGCAGUAUAAGCAGUAGAUAAUAGUGUAACACGUGACCAGUGUGUUAACACGUCAACCAACACCAUAAAGCAUAAAAAGGUGUCCGCAAGUUGGUUGUAUCUAUCUACAUAGUUUGAUGUAAGAAUAGAAUGUUCACUUUUGUGUUAUUUAGCGUAGGAGGGUCUCACUCCUUAUUUAGCUAAAGAAUAAGCUUUCAAAACGAGCAAUGAGCAUUGCAGGGGGCCAAUGCGACAUCGAGGAAAGGCCGGUGCACCUCAAUUGCUUGAGGAAUUGACCGGACGACCUCCAGGAAGUUGGAGUCGUGUUCGGGUGACGUCAAUGUCCCCCAGGUCACCACCAUGCUUCAUGGUGAUGCUAGAUCUCGAAUGUCUUCGUUUUGAGCGGAAUAAUGGAUGUCCAUGAGAAUUUCUCAAAAUUUGGACCAUUAUAUCUCUUCCAGGUUGACCAAUUUGGUCAAACCAAAUCCUAUAUGAGUCAGUGUCCCAAAUAUCAUGUUUGGCGACAACAUGGGAUUCGAUAUUCGAAUCAUAGUGACAUACAGUCCACUAGAUUGACUCAUGAAUUUCUCCAAGAUGCGCUUCAGUUCGCAUUCAUGAGGAGGUAUACACAAAAGAAUUCUUGUUCAUUCUCACAAUAUGUUUUCAAAUGAAAACCAUUAGCAUGAAUGUCUUUAAAGCUUAACAUGGUUCCUUAGAAUGUUGUGGAUAGUUCCACUAUCUGCGAAGCACUCAAUGUCUCUAUGAGACAUAACUACAAGGAGUAGAUAGGCGAGUAAAUAGUUCUACUUGAACCAUUUAGAAGGAUUGAAAGAAGCUACGAAAAGCUGCAAUCCCGAGAGUGCAUAAAAAUUUCCGCGCAGAAUGACCUUUGCGCACUAAAACAGCCAUAACUUCUUCAUUAAAAUAGAUAUGGACGAACCGUGAAAAGUUCUGAAAACUAGACUCAUAGAGCUUUCCAAUGAUAUAAAGCUCACUN
rnacentral:lncRNA from 1 species